rnacentral:rRNA from 1 species
ACUCCUACGGGAGGCAGCAGUGGGGAAUAUUGCACAAUGGGCGAAAGCCUGAUGCAGCAACGCCGCGUGAGCGAUGAAGGCCUUCGGGUCGUAAAGCUCUGUCCUCAAGGAAGAUAAUGACGGUACCUGA